GCUCAAAUGGCGGAACUGGUAGACGCGCUGCGUUCAGGGCGCAGUCCUGGCAACGGGGUGGGGGUUCGACUCCCCCUUUGAGCA
rnacentral:tRNA from 1 species